UAAACUUGAAACAAGGCUCAUUAAAAACCUAAUUCGUCCUAUAAUCCUAAAGCCUAAACGAGUCCAAACCUUAAAAAACACACAUUUCAAAACAAAACCCUAAAGAAACUACCCCGUAGCCAGUUUCCAUUUCUGAUGAUCCCUCUUCAUCUUCAACAAUUUGUCUCUUCAAGCUCUGAAAAAUAACUGUCAACCACGUCAAAACUCUCAACUAAUCCAAGGCAUCUCUAAAAUGAGCGAUUUUACUCGCUAUUUUAGUUACCCUUUUACUAAAGAAACUUUGGAUCUCAAAUGUCUUUCCAUUUUCUUAUCAUUUUCUUCUCUUAAAAUAUAGAAAUACUCUUUCUUCAACCCCUCAGAUCUAUUGUUUCCUUGUAUUCAAAUCUAUAAAGUUCCUUAGAUUUUACCAUAAUCCCUUCAACUUCCUCCUCUUCCACCUUGUAUGUCAAUCUCGACGGCCAUAGCUACCGAACUGGAAAGACCAGAAGCCAGAUAGGUAUUCCCGCUCUCGAUUAAACCUUUUUUUGCAAGUAUAUGAGCCACUUUGUUUGUUUGUCUCCUUGCAUGCUUAAAUAUACAACUAACAAAGUUGCUUCUUAAUCUUUUAACAUCUAAAAUGUAAUCCCUUAUUUCAUAUCUAUCCUCUUCCCCACUUAGUAUUUUUUUAAUAAUAGCUAACACGUCGCCAUCAACUUCAACUCUUAAAAAGCUUGACUCUGCUUCGAAUCUAAUCACCUGGACGCAUGCGAGUGCCUCUGCUACAAACGUCGUUAGUAUAUGCCCGUUAUUGUAAGAUUUUACUUUUAAAACAUUACGAAAAGAAUUUCUGAUGACAGUUCCUGUACAUGAAUUUUUAUUUUGUUUACCAAAUGCAGCAUCAAAGUUGAUUUUAACAUUCGUGCCCCCCAAAGGAUUCUAGUGUUAUUUUGCCACUACGUUGACUGGUACUUUCUUGUUAACUCCUUCUAUAUCCCGCAAAUAAUCUACAAUGAAUUGCACCAAACUUACCUUUGAUUGUAUCUUAUUUUCAUGAACCACUUUAUUUAUGACCGUCCAUAAUCCCCAAAUUACACACACUGUUAUUUUAAUUCGAUGAUUAGAUUCUUUUUCGAAUAAAACCUUCAUCCAGUACUUAUGCUAUAAUUGAUCUUGCUACAGGGUCCACCUGAUACCCAAUCUGGACCAAACAUCAACUGCAAAUGGGCAGUCUCGAAACAUAUGAUCAAUGGUUUCAGUAUUGUUUAAGCAUCUUGGACAAUUUGCUGCAUUCCCUAGUUUGCGUUGAUAUAGAUUAGAGAAAGUAGGAAGAAAAUUAUUUAGGGAUUUCCAUACCAAGAUUUUUUUUGAAGGUGAUUCAACCUUCCAUAGCUUUUUGUACAUGGUUUUGUAAUAAUUUUGGUUUGCUUGUAAAUUUGUUGAUCUCUCGGUAUGUAUUAAAUUAUUGUAACCACUUCGCACUGUGUAAACCCCUGAAGCUUCUCCUCGCCAUACCACUCAAUCCGUUUCUUACUCGAGAGGGAGAGGCAUGCAUAGAAUCCUCUCAGCAUCUUUAAGGUGAAAGGUACUUCUUACUAGAUCUUCCUUCUAUUGAUUUGAGCUUUGUUCAAUUAAGUUUGAGACAUAAACUAGAUUCUGAUCAAUUUUUGAAUGCUAG
rnacentral:lncRNA from 1 species